CUCUCUCAACAAACCUGGAAUCCUCUGUUUACUGAUUUGGCCUCAUAUGGAUAAAAAUUUCAGAAUCCCCAUUUUCUGAUUUGCCCUCAUUUGCUUAAGAUUUCAUAUUUCUGCUUGAUCAUUUGUUUAAAAUUUCUGUUGCACGUGUUCUUCUUGUAUAUUUGUAUAUAUCUGUUUGUUUCCUUCAAUCCCAAAUCCGAAUAUUGGUAUUAAGUAUUAACUAUGUCAUUAUGCAGCCUGAACUAGAUAUCAAUCUUUCUGAUGUGAAAUCUCAAAUAAUCAGCCUCAAUAAUCCUGGAAUCUUUGAGGCAAACCAGCAGCCUAUUUAACAAUGGUAUCUACAAGUAGAAGAUCUCAAGUGGUUCCUACGGCAGCGGCAGUUCUAAUGCAAUGGGCGAAUGUUUUUGCGAGUGUGGUUUAAGAGCUCUCGUGAUUUAGUUCCAAUUUGAAGUUGAUCGAACAAGUUGAAAAACUGCAGAAUGAAAUUGUAUUUCUGACAUUUUUAGCGUUCUUUCAAAUUUUUUGUUUUGUAGUUUGUAUUGUUUUGAUCAUAGUACUGUUUUUUAAGUUCUAGUAUGAAAUCCAGAUUGAAACAGGCAUAUGGAUAAAUUGUAUAAAUUAGUUUACUGUAAUGAAAUACUCUUUCCUUCUUACUAUUGCAAA